ACUCGAGUGGCGAACGGGUGAGUAACACGUGGGUGAUCUGCCUUGCACUUCGGGAUAAGCCUGGGAAACUGGGUCUAAUACCGGAUAGGACCAUGCUUUAGUGUGUGUGGUGGAAAGUUUUUUCGGUGGAGGAUGAGCUCGCGGCCUAUCAGCUUGUUGGUGGGGUAAUGGCCUACCAAGGCGACGACGGGUAGCCGGCCUGAGAGGGUGGACGGCCACAUUGGGACUGAGACACGGCCCAG
rnacentral:rRNA from 1 species